CCAAGACGAAUGCUUUGACCUGCAGCAUUGGAAGAACAAAUAUGCUUGCUUACAUAUUCUGCCGUUUCACAGUAUGAGACACAGUCAAAGUACAUGAGAAAUCAACUCAUGGGAGUUUCUAAUUCUUUGGAAGCAUAGCAUACCUUCAUAUAAAUGACAUGAGGUGAUUUGACAUGACCUCCAUUACUUAGCUCGGUCAUCAAUGAAAGCA